UUUGUGUGUUUCAUACCGAGCAAAUUAUUAUCGCAAAACAAAGAUGGUUUCAGGCGUGGUGGAGUGAAAGCCUCAAAAAGUGGUACAGUUUGAUCAGCUCUCUUCCUGACUUAACCAGGUCGUUGGCUGUAGCGGUGGUGGUGUUGGAGUGGGGACUCCUGGCUGCAGGUGGUGAUGGUGCCCAGAGUGGGAACUCUUGGUGGUACUGGGCCACUGUGGCAGAGGUGGUGCCUGGAACAGAAACUCCUGGCUGCAGUAGGCCUAAACCAAGCGGACUCCAUGAUGCCAAGGACACCAUGCAGAAACUCUAGAGUUGUGUUUGAAGACCUCUUGUACCGAAGAUGACCUCUAUGUAAUUUAUUUUUUAUUCUUUCUGUAACUCAAAAUGGUGCUUGGUUAUGGUGACAAAACAUUGCGGCUUUCUAGAUUUUUGUGACAAUAAAUAAAUAACUCAUGACUUUCUGCUUGAA